rnacentral:rRNA from 1 species
CUACGGGAGGCUCCAGUGGGGAAUCUUGCGCAAUGGGCGAAAGCCUGACGCAGCAACGCCGCGUGCGGGAUGAAGGCCUUCGGGCUGUAAACCGCUUUCAGCAGGAACGAAAAUGACGGUACCUGCAGAAGAAGGAGCGGCCAACUACGUGCCAGCAGCCGCGGUGACACGUAGGCUCCAAGCGUUGUCCGGAUUUAUUGGGCGUAAAGAGCUCGUAGGCGGUUGAGUAAGUCGGGUGUGAAAACUCUGGGCUUAACCCGGCGACGCCAUCCGAUACUGCUCUGACUAGAGUUCAGGAGGGGAGUGGGGAAUUCCUAGUGUAGCGGUGAAAUGCGCAGAUAUUAGGAGGAACACCGGUGGCGAAGGCGCCACUCUGGACUGAAACUGACGCUGAGGAGCGAAAGCAUGGGUAGCAAACAGGAUUAGAUACCCUGGUAGUC